GGGGGCGAGUAGGCUCGACGGCUUGCGUUCAGGCAGUAUAAGCGGGUCGAGAUGGUCGCGGUCUCGUUAAACAGCGGCAAAAUAACAAUAAGUGCCAAUAAUCAAUACGCACUCGCAGCCUAAUUAGGCUGCCGUCCUACCCAAGAUGGGCCUGUGAUCUGGGCAAGGGCGUCACCAUAACAGGCUCGGUCUCCUCCUGAUUCUCGGAGGGAGGAUCGACACCUGACGAGAUAGUUGCCCUGUGAGCUUGCUCUUCAGCGCAUAGGGCGGCGAAUGCAAAUGAAGAGAUGCACCCGGAGAAAAUACUGUUGGUUCCAGGUCGGACGCGGGGUGCGACUCCCCGCCGCCUCCACCA
rnacentral:tmRNA from 1 species